rnacentral:rRNA from 1 species
AUUGAACGCUGGCGGCAUGCCUUACACAUGCAAGUCGAACGGUAACAGGUCUUCGGAUGCUGACGAGUGGCGAACGGGUGAGUAGCACAUCGGAACGUGCCCGAGAGUGGGGGAUAACGAGGCGAAAGCUUUGCUAAUACCGCAUACGAUCUCAGGAUGAAAGCAGGGGACCGCAAGGCCUUGCGCUCACGGAGCGGCCGAUGGCAGAUUAGGUAGUUGGUGGGAUAAAAGCUUACCAAGCCGACGAUCUGUAGCUGGUCUGAGAGGACGACCAGCCACACUGGGACUGAGACACGGCCCAGACUCCUACGGGAGGCAGCAGUGGGGAAUUUUGGACAAUGGGCGAAAGCCUGAUCCAGCAAUGCCGCGUGCAGGAUGAAGGCCUUCGGGUUGUAAACUGCUUUUGUACGGAACGAAAAGGCGCCUACUAAUACUGGGCGUUGAUGACGGUACCGUAAGAAUAAGCACCGGCUAACUACGUGCCAGCAGCCGCGGUAAUAC